GAGUUUGAUCAUGGCUCAGAUUGAACGCUGGCGGCAGGCUUAACACAUGCAAGUCGAGCGGGGGAAGGUAGCUUGCUACCGGACCUAGCGGCGGACGGGUGAGUAAUGCUUAGGAAUCUGCCUAUUAGUGGGGGACAACAUCUCGAAAGGGAUGCUAAUACCGCAUACGUCCUACGGGAGAAAGCAGGGGAUCUUCGGACCUUGCGCUAAUAGAUGAGCCUAAGUCGGAUUAGCUAGUUGGUGGGGUAAAGGCCUACCAAGGCGACGAUCUGUAGCGGGUCUGAGAGGAUGAUCCGCCACACUGGGACUGAGACACGGCCCAGACUCCUACGGGAGGCAGCAGUGGGGAAUAUUGGACAAUGGGGGGAACCCUGAUCCAGCCAUGCCGCGUGUGUGAAGAAGGCCUUAUGGUUGUAAAGCACUUUAAGCGAGGAGGAGGCUACUUUAGUUAAUACCUAGAGAUAGUGGACGUUACUCGCAGAAUAAGCACCGGCUAACUCUGUGCCAGCAGCCGCGGUAAUACAGAGGGUGCGAGCGUUAAUCGGAUUUACUGGGCGUAAAGCGUGCGUAGGCGGCUUAUUAAGUCGGAUGUGAAAUCCCCGAGCUUAACUUGGGAAUUGCAUUCGAUACUGGUGAGCUAGAGUAUGGGAGAGGAUGGUAGAAUUCCAGGUGUAGCGGUGAAAUGCGUAGAGAUCUGGAGGAAUACCGAUGGCGAAGGCAGCCAUCUGGCCUAAUACUGACGCUGAGGUACGAAAGCAUGGGGAGCAAACAGGAUUAGAUACCCUGGUAGUCCAUGCCGUAAACGAUGUCUACUAGCCGUUGGGGCCUUUGAGGCUUUAGUGGCGCAGCUAACGCGAUAAGUAGACCGCCUGGGGAGUACGGUCGCAAGACUAAAACUCAAAUGAAUUGACGGGGGCCCGCACAAGCGGUGGAGCAUGUGGUUUAAUUCGAUGCAACGCGAAGAACCUUACCUGGCCUUGACAUACUAGAAACUUUCCAGAGAUGGAUUGGUGCCUUCGGGAAUCUAGAUACAGGUGCUGCAUGGCUGUCGUCAGCGCGUGUCGUGAGAUGUUGGGUUAAGUCCCGCAACGAGCGCAACCCUUUUCCUUACUUGCCAGCAUUUCGGAUGGGAACUUUAAGGAUACUGCCAGUGACAAACUGGAGGAAGGCGGGGACGACGUCAAGUCAUCAUGGCCCUUACGGCCAGGGCUACACACGUGCUACAAUGGUCGGUACAAAGGGUUGCUACACAGCGAUGUGAUGCUAAUCUCAAAAAGCCGAUCGUAGUCCGGAUUGGAGUCUGCAACUCGACUCCAUGAAGUCGGAAUCGCUAGUAAUCGCGGAUCAGAAUGCCGCGGUGAAUACGUUCCCGGGCCUUGUACACACCGCCCGUCACACCAUGGGAGUUUGUUGCACCAGAAGUAGCUAGCCUAACUGCAAAGAGGGCGGUUACCACGGUGUGGCCGAUGACUGGGGUGAAGUCGUAACAAGGUA
rnacentral:rRNA from 1 species